CAGCAGGGCCGCACGUAUUCCAAAUCUGUUUAAAAAACGAUCAACCCUUGGUGGAAUCGCGGCGAACCUGACCAAUACUUGAGGUGUUGGCGCGACGCAUCCCCCCAAGUGACGCGCCGAUAAGGGUGAACACGGACCGCUCGCCUUUGUUUUACUCCUAAUGGUCUUAACCCGGAUUCCCCCCCAGAACCCGG
rfam:Pseudomonas putida strain TASWS0946 Contig180, whole genome shotgun sequence.